GUCAAGCAGCCGCCCAAAGAGAGCAACGACUUCUCUCCAUUGAUGAAGAUGAAGCAGAAUCUGGAGGCAGGAAUGGUGAAGGAGAUGUGUGGCACGACAAGCUCACGAAUCCGAUCUUUCAGGACAUCAAAGGGGUUGGAGGAGCGUCACGCAGCCGCCCAAACAACAGACAUCGGCUUCUCUGCGAAGGCAUGAAGGAGAUGGUGGUGGGACGACAUGCUCACGAAACCUUAUCUUUCAGAUAUAUCAUUUACUAGCAUGUGUACGAGAGGAAGGUACUCAAUAUGACAUAUGUGAUCAAAGUAAACAGAAACUGAGAUUAGUCGGCCAAACGUGUCAGAAGUGAUGCGUUGUGUCAACGGUACUGAGCACUACGGAACUUUAGCUCAGUAUCAUACUAUCACUAGAACGAGAGAACUUGAGUCAACAAAGAUUAUACACAACACAGCUAGACUGCAACGUCCCUGAUGAGCGUGCCAAAACGUAGGCUUCUGAAGUAAUGAGUUUACAAAAGAAGGCAUUGGUAAGUUGAUUUUGUAAUUUUUUAACAUCUCUGUUUCUUUUUAC